rnacentral:rRNA from 1 species
CGCAUCUGUGCAUGCAGCAUAUCAAUAAGCGGAGGAAAAGAAACUAACAAGGAUUCCCCUAGUAACGGCGAGUGAAGCGGGAAGAGCUCAAAUUUGAAAUCUUAAAGGGUUUCCCUUUACGAAUUGUAGUUUAAAGAAGUGUUUUCUGUUGAGGUUUUGGUAAAAGUUCUUUGGAAUAGGACAUCAUAGAGGGUGAGAAUCCCGUAUUUGACCUUUACUUUCAACUUUGUGAUACACUUUCAAAGAGUCGGAUUGUUUGGGAAUGCAGUCCAAAAUGGGUGGUAAAUUUCAUCUAAAGCUAAAUAUUGGCGAGAGACCGAUAGCGAACAAGUACCGUGAGGGAAAGAUGAAAAGAACUUUGAAAAGAGAGUUAAAGCAGUACGUGAAAUUGUCAAAAGGGAAGCGUUUGACACCAGUGUUGUUUUUCUGAAAAUCAAUUAAAGAACUGUUUAUGCUAAGCUGUUUAGACUUUAUCAGCUAAUCUGUUUAGUUUUGAGCUUUUCUUUAAUGCACUUUUCAGUUAACAAGUCAACAUCAAUUUCUUUUGCUGUAAAAAAGCUUGAGGAAGGUGGCUUGAGAUUCGUCUUAAGUGUUUAUAGCCCUCUUGCCUAUGCAGUCGGAGAGAUUGAGGUCUGCAGCGUAGAUCCUUCGGGGCUAAAUGCAUUUGUGCUAAGUUAUAGCAUUUUACUAGACAACUUGUUGACUAUGAUUUGUCUUGUAGCUUACUCGCUUAUGUUAUUUUACCUACGCUUAGGAUGUUGAAUCUGUGCGAGACUAC